rnacentral:rRNA from 1 species
UACGAAGGGGGCUAGCGUUGUUCGGAAUUACUGGGCGUAAAGCGCAUGUAGGCGGGUCUUUAAGUCAGGGGUGAAAUGCCAAGGCUCAACCUUGGAACUGCCUUUGAUACUGGAGAUCUUGAGUCCGGGAGAGGUGAGUGGAACUGCGAGUGUAGAGGUGAAAUUCGUAGAUAUUCGCAAGAACACCAGUGGCGAAGGCGGCUCACUGGCCCGAUACUGACGCUGAGGCACGAAAGCGUGGGGAGCAAACAGG